rnacentral:tRNA from 1 species
CGGAUGUAGCCAAGGAU